GGGUGAGUCCAAAGGGGAUUCAUUAAUCGCCUGAAUUUGACUAGGUGAGAGACCUACUCUCACCUGGCCUACACCACAUUCCUCAGGAUGAUCAUCAAUUGACGGUUUGAACCUCAUUGCCGCUUCAUGAGCUGCCAUUUGUACGUCUUCAGGUCUUGAACUUGAGGGUUUUGGGAAUGUAUGGAUUAAUUCAGGGAAAUUGAGCCUUAAGUUCGGUCUCUCACCUUUUAGAUGAAAUGCAGCAACAUCAUAAGCAGCAGCAGCCAUUUCUGCUUUCUGAUAACUCCCCAACCAUAUUCGGGUUUUCUUUCCUGGUUCGCG
rnacentral:misc_RNA from 1 species